GACGUAGGGCGCGAGCGUUGUCCGGAUUUAUUGGGCGUAAAGAGCUCGUAGGCGGCUUGUUGCGUCGACUGUGAAAACCCGCGGCUUAACCGCGGGCUUGCAGUUGAUACGGGCAGGCUAGAGUUCGGUAGGGGAGACUGGAAUUCCUGGUGUAGCGGUGAAAUGCGCAGAUAUCAGGAAGAACACCAAUGGCGAAGGCAGCUCUCUGGGACGGUACUGACGCUGAGACGCGAAAGCGUGGGGAGCGAACAGG
rnacentral:rRNA from 1 species